AACUAAAUUCGUGAAACUGCUCUCCUGUUGUUCUUCCCUCGGGUUUGGGACCUGCUGGCAGGAUUCUGAUGUUGCAGCUCGUGACAAGGGCACAAACAGAAGCAGGAUCUUUUGGUGACAAUGAACUGACCUCUCCAACUAUGGUUGUGUGAUUACAAACUAUAGUCAUUGCAGAAAACUCCAGCACAAAGUCUGAUCAAGCAAUCACAUGAAGAAAGGAUUCACUUUGCAAUUCUACACUGCGUUCUAUUCCUGGGUCGUUUCUGUGUCCGUCAUCCAACCUGAAUCCAUUUCCCUGUCCGUACUCAUCCUUCGUGGCCUUGACACUUUUAAAAGACACAAUCAAUAAUUGCAACUAUAAAAUUUUAAUUCCAUAUGAAUUUUCUAGUAUUAUGAGUUUAUGCAUUGUUGAUACAAGUACCUGAGAGAGGUUUUUAUGUUCUGCUUAUACAUGGUAUCAGGAGGUGCAUGAUGCUGUUUAUUACUGGUGAUGUUAACCUUGAUCACUUGGGAGGGAUGUCUGUUAUGCUUUGUUCCUGUAAUAUUCUAAUUAUUCACUUUUAAUAUACAAAUAUCUUGGGAUAUGUUAAACUGUGUACAUAUCCUGUUUCUUUUCAUACAUUCUCCUACUAAUUCUGUUGAUCAAUAUAGCAAUAAUGUGGUUUUGUCUGAUGGUGACUUUGAAUUUAUUUCAAUUCUUCCAUAUUUAUUAGUAGGCAUAUCUUUAAAAGGAAGAGUUGCUUACUCUGCAUUUAGGUGUGUUCAAUAUUAAUUUAUAUUUGAAGCAUAGAUAUUUAUUUUAUUUCAUGAGUUAGAGUCCUGUAGUAUCAUUACUAAUCUUGCUCAAAUAUUUUUGGUUUGUCCAUUGGCGCUCCACUCCUCCUUCACAGGUCUUGAUUGCCUUUGGAUCACUCUCUCACUUCCUGGUACCAUUAGACAUACAGGCUUAUUGUAUUUACCUUAUCCUAAGCUGACAGACAACUACCACUUUAAUAAGGUCUUAUUUCUUUUAUUACUAUCAAAACACCAAGAUCUGGACAUUGGGUAUAUUGAAAUUUAAUUGUUUCUGAGUCCUCUCAACCAACAUAUUCACACAUAUUCAUACAUUUAUAUUCAUUCUAUCACUUUAAUCUAGAAACAAACCUGAACUCUGAUUCUAAUCUAACACUACCAGGUUCUUUCCAACUUUUCCCGUUUUUCUUAUAUGUAACAUUUCUGGCAGCAAAAAAGCUAGGUUUCACCACAUAAAAUAUAGUUACUUAUUUGUUCAACACACAGAUAAUAUGAUAUAGUUACAAAAUCACUAAACAUAUAGUAGUU